rnacentral:tRNA from 1 species
AAGCGUUAGGGGCUUGUAGCUCAGUUGGUUAGAGCGCGCGCUUGAUAAGCGUGAGGUCGGAAGUUCAAGUCUUCCCAGGCCCACCUGGUUACGGGGCCAUAGCUCAGCUGGGAGAGCGCGUGCUUUGCAAGCAUGAGGUCGUCGGUUCGAUCCCGUCUGGCUCCACCAGCGUCCGCGAGACAACACUUCGCAUCUUCUGAUCCUCACCGGGAUUACAGAAGACUGCGUGUUAUCUGACAUCGUGAAGAGGAGAUCGAUCCGAGUAGGGUCGUGCAAUGAAGGGCCACCGCGCAAGCGGUCCGCGCUUCGACUUUGCACCGACGCCUUCACUAUCUCCGGGUCAUUUCGGCGCAAGUCUCGAGCUGUGAAGCUUGUCACUUGUUGUGAAUGACUCUGUUCGCUGCGCUUGACCGCACGGCGAUCGGUUCGAUCUUAAGAAGCAAGCUGGUCUUUCUAAUCAGUGUCCUGCAGCUCACUAACGCUUGUCCCUCGGGGCAGGUGAGUGGCUGACAACAUUCUGCCGAGUGUGUGGACAUUGAUAAUGAGAGC